rnacentral:rRNA from 1 species
UACGGAGGGUGCAAGCGUUAUCCGGAUUCCCUGGGUUUAAAGGGUGCGUAGGUGGGUUGGUAAGUCAGUGGUGAAAUCUCCAGGCUUAACUUGGAAACUGCCAUUGAUACUAUCAAUCUUGAAUACCGUGGAGGUCAGCGGAAUAUGUCAUGUAGCGGUGAAAUGCUUAGAUAUGACAUAGAACACCAAUUGCGAAGGCAGCUGGCUACACGAAUAUUGACACUGAUGCACGAAAGCGUGGGGAUCAAACAGG